CCUACGGGAGGCAGCAGUGAGGAAUAUUGGUCAAUGGGCGCGAGCCUGAACCAGCCAAGUAGCGUGAAGGAUGACUGCCCUACGGGUUGUAAACUUCUUUUAUAAAGGAAUAAAGAGAGGCACGUGUGCCCUUUUGUAUGUACUUUAUGAAUAAGGAUCGGCGAACUCCGUGCCAGCAGCCGCGGUAAUACGGAGGAUCCGAGCGUUAUCUGGAUUUAUUGGGUUUAAAGGGAGCGGAGAUGGGUUGUUAAGUCAGUUGUGAAAGUUUGCGGCUCAACCGUAAAAUUGCAAUUGAUACUGGCAGUCUAGAGUACAGUAGAGGUAGGCGGAAUUCGUGGUGUAGCGGUGAAAUGCGUAGAUAUGACGAAGAACUCCGAAUGCGAAGGCAGCUUACUAAACAGCUACUGACAUUGAUGCGCGAAAGUGUGGGUAUCAAACAGGAUUAGAUACCCGGGUAGUC
rnacentral:rRNA from 1 species